UACGUAGGUGGCAAGCGUUGUCCCGGAUUUACUGGGCGUAAAGAGCGCGCAGGCGGCUGGUCAAGUCCGAUGUGAAAUCUCCCGGCUCAACUGGGAAACUGCAUCGGAAACUGAUCGGCUUGAAGGUGGGAGAGGGUAGUGGAAUUCCAAGGUGUAGCGGUGAAAUGCGUAGAUAUCUGGAGGAAUACCGGUGGCGAAGGCGGCAUCCUGGACCGACAUUGACGCUGAGGAGCGAAAAGCUAGGGGAGCAAACGGGG
rnacentral:rRNA from 1 species